rnacentral:tRNA from 1 species
GCGGGUGUAGCUCAGGGGUAGAGCGAAAGCUUCCCAAGCUUUAGGUCGCGGGUUCGAAUCCCGUCACCCGCU